UUAAGUUAUUAAGGGCGCACGGUGGAUGCCUUGGCACUAGAAGCCGAUGAAGGACGUUACUAACGACGAUAUGCUUUGGGGAGCUGUAAGUAAGCUUUGAUCCAGAGAUUUCCGAAUGGGGAAACCCAGCAUGAGUUAUGUCAUGUUAUCGAUAUGUGAAUACAUAGCAUAUCAGAAGGCACACCCGGAGAACUGAAACAUCUUAGUACCCGGAGGAAGAGAAAGAAAAUUCGAUUCCCUUAGUAGCGGCGAGCGAAACGGGAAGAGCCCAAACCAACAAGCUUGCUUGUUGGGGUUGUAGGACACUCUAUACGGAGUUACAAAGGACGACAUUAGACGAAUCAUCUGGAAAGAUGAAUCAAAGAAGGUAAUAAUCCUGUAGUCGAAAAUGUUGUCUCUCUUGAGUGGAUCCUGAGUACGACGGAGCACGUGAAAUUCCGUCGGAAUCUGGGAGGACCAUCUCCUAAGGCUAAAUACUCUCUAGUGACCGAUAGUGAACCAGUACCGUGAGGGAAAGGUGAAAAGCACCCCGGAAGGGGAGUGAAAUAGAACCUGAAACCGUGUGCUUACAAGUAGUCAGAGCCCGUUAAUGGGUGAUGGCGUGCCUUUUGUAGAAUGAACCGGCGAGUUACGAUUUGAUGCAAGGUUAAGCAGUAAAUGUGGAGCCGUAGCGAAAGCGAGUCUGAAUAGGGCGUUUAGUAUUUGGUCGUAGACCCGAAACCAGGUGAUCUACCCUUGGUCAGGUUGAAGUUCAGGUAACACUGAAUGGAGGACCGAACCGACUUACGUUGAAAAGUGAGCGGAUGAACUGAGGGUAGCGGAGAAAUUCCAAUCGAACCUGGAGAUAGCUGGUUCUCUCCGAAAUAGCUUUAGGGCUAGCCUCAAGUGAUGAUUAUUGGAGGUAGAGCACUGUUUGGACGAGGGGCCCCUCUCGGGUUACCGAAUUCAGACAAACUCCGAAUGCCAAUUAAUUUAACUUGGGAGUCAGAACAUGGGUGAUAAGGUCCGUGUUCGAAAGGGAAACAGCCCAGACCACCAGCUAAGGUCCCAAAAUAUAUGUUAAGUGGAAAAGGAUGUGGCGUUGCCCAGACAACUAGGAUGUUGGCUUAGAAGCAGCCAUCAUUUAAAGAGUGCGUAAUAGCUCACUAGUCGAGUGACACUGCGCCGAAAAUGUACCGGGGCUAAACAUAUUACCGAAGCUGUGGAUUGUCCUUUGGACAAUGGUAGGAGAGCGUUCUAAGGGCGUUGAAGCAUGAUCGUAAGGACAUGUGGAGCGCUUAGAAGUGAGAAUGCCGGUGUGAGUAGCGAAAGACGGGUGAGAAUCCCGUCCACCGAUUGACUAAGGUUUCCAGAGGAAGGCUCGUCCGCUCUGGGUUAGUCGGGUCCUAAGCUGAGGCCGACAGGCGUAGGCGAUGGAUAACAGGUUGAUAUUCCUGUACCACCUAUAAUCGUUUUAAUCGAUGGGGGGACGCAGUAGGAUAGGCGAAGCGUGCGAUUGGAUUGCACGUCUAAGCAGUAAGGCUGAGUAUUAGGCAAAUCCGGUACUCAUUAAGGCUGAGCUGUGAUGGGGAGAAGACAUUGUGUCUUCGAGUCGUUGAUUUCACACUGCCGAGAAAAGCCUCUAGAUAGAAAAUAGGUGCCCGUACCGCAAACCGACACAGGUAGUCAAGAUGAGAAUUCUAAGGUGAGCGAGCGAACUCUCGUUAAGGAACUCGGCAAAAUGACCCCGUAACUUCGGGAGAAGGGGUGCUCUUUAGGGUUAACGCCCAGAAGAGCCGCAGUGAAUAGGCCCAAGCGACUGUUUAUCAAAAACACAGGUCUCUGCUAAACCGUAAGGUGAUGUAUAGGGGCUGACGCCUGCCCGGUGCUGGAAGGUUAAGAGGAGUGGUUAGCUUCUGCGAAGCUACGAAUCGAAGCCCCAGUAAACGGCGGCCGUAACUAUAACGGUCCUAAGGUAGCGAAAUUCCUUGUCGGGUAAGUUCCGACCCGCACGAAAGGCGUAACGAUUUGGGCACUGUCUCAACGAGAGACUCGGUGAAAUCAUAGUACCUGUGAAGAUGCAGGUUACCCGCGACAGGACGGGAAGACCCCGUGGAGCUUUACUGUAGCCUGAUAUUGAAAUUCGGCACAGCUUGUACAGGAUAGGUAGGAGCCUUUGAAACGUGAGCGCUAGCUUACGUGGAGGCGCUGGUGGGAUACUACCCUAGCUGUGUUGGCUUUCUAACCCGCACCACUUAUCGUGGUGGGAGACAGUGUCAGGCGGGCAGUUUGACUGGGGCGGUCGCCUCCUAAAAGGUAACGGAGGCGCUCAAAGGUUCCCUCAGAAUGGUUGGAAAUCAUUCAUAGAGUGUAAAGGCAUAAGGGAGCUUGACUGCGAGACCUACAAGUCGAGCAGGGUCGAAAGACGGACUUAGUGAUCCGGUGGUUCCGCAUGGAAGGGCCAUCGCUCAACGGAUAAAAGCUACCCCGGGGAUAACAGGCUUAUCUCCCCCAAGAGUUCACAUCGACGGGGAGGUUUGGCACCUCGAUGUCGGCUCAUCGCAUCCUGGGGCUGUAGUCGGUCCCAAGGGUUGGGCUGUUCGCCCAUUAAAGCGGUACGCGAGCUGGGUUCAGAACGUCGUGAGACAGUUCGGUCCCUAUCCGUCGUGGGCGUAGGAAAUUUGAGAGGAGCUGUCCUUAGUACGAGAGGACCGGGAUGGACAUACCUCUGGUGUACCAGUUGUCGUGCCAACGGCAUAGCUGGGUAGCUAUGUGUGGACGGGAUAAGUGCUGAAAGCAUCUAAGCAUGAAGCCCCCCUCAAGAUGAGAUUUCCCAACUUCGGUUAUAAGAUCCCUCAAAGAUGAUGAGGUUAAUAGGUUCGAGGUGGAAGCAUGGUGACAUGUGGAGCUGACGAAUACUAAUCGAUCGAAGACUUAAUCAA
rnacentral:rRNA from 1 species